rnacentral:lncRNA from 1 species
CUAGUUAUUUUUUAAAAUUUGGAGUUUGUAAAUGUCAUUGCUAAUUAGUAAUUAUCUAAGAAUUGGAUUUAUUUCUUGGACCAUUGACCUGUCACUUCCACAAAUAUAAAUCAAAAUGGAAAAAUAAAAUACCUUCCUUCUCAGGACCGCUGGCAGCAGUGACGAUGUGGGGUGUUCCUGCUCUUCUCCCUUUGCCCUCCCCUCCCCUUUCUCUGGUUACUGGCACUCAGCUGUGUCACCCUAGUGACCAAUGAGCAAGGGAUCUACCAUAGGCUCCUGGGGGACGUGGUGACUCACAAUAACUCACCUCCCUCCUAACACCCCACCUGUGACUUCCACUUCCAAGGACUGGGGCAGGCCUCUGUACACAGUGUGGUCUCCUCUCAAUAAAGACUGCUGACUGAGGGCCAGGUGGCUGACAGGCUGGCCCCAGCUGCAUUGUUUUCAUCUGUACACCAAAGAUAACGCUGUCCAUUUCGUUGAUUUCUUGGGAGCAUCCAUCACAUGGAAAGUACCUAGACCAUCAGGUAAGAGCAAGGAGCAUGGAGAAGACAGGGGCCAACACCUGGGAACACCCGCAAGUUCAUCUACAGUAAUGUGGGUGAGAGAAACCCAGCAAGUCCCACGUACACAGAGACAGCAGAGCAAUUCCUGGCUUCCAACAAUGGUUAUUUCCCCGAACUUGCUGACUACACAGCACCACCUAGGGGCGGAGCACGCUUGGAGCCGACAGUGGUCCCUGCAAGGCCAGCUAACUGCACAGUGCCUCUGUCUCUUUUGGCCCUUC